ensembl:lncRNA
GGGGGUUGGCAGGGAGAUGUGCCUGCUAGCAGGGAGAUGUGCCUGGCUCACGGCUAACUGGUGCUAGCUUCGUGGCAGUGGCGUUAGCCAAGGUCCAGAGUUUACAGCAAGUAUCCGGUGGAGUAUUGGGCUCUAGCCAUGUAUGAGUGUGGUUCGGGUGAACAGCUGAGUAGGCCGGGAAGUGGGCCUCAGGGAUAGCUUCGGUACUGGGUGCAAGCUAGCUGUGAAGAUCAGAAGUAGUGGUCCAUUACGGCAAGAAUCCAGCGUUGUUGUGGAGAGACAGUUCGAUACUGGUAGACUGGCGAGUAUUAUCCAGGCUGAAAAAACUGGCUGGCUGUGCAGAAGGUAAUAGCAGUGGCUAACAAUGACUAAAUAGCUUGUAGCUAGUUAGCGGGUUAGCUUCUGGAGGUUCUUGAAUGUGUUCUAAAGUUAAAAAUAAUAGCGAUUCCGUAUCACAUUGGGUGAGGCAGGUUACUGGAAGGUAUAAUCAAAUUAAAAAUCGAAAAGAGAUUGAAAAUAAAUAUGGGUCCAGUGAGUGGUUGGGCUGGCUGGGGACACGGCGAUUCAGACAGUUAGCAAGCCUGUGCUAACAAGCUAACAGUUAGUAGGCCGGGGCUAAACAAGCUAGCAGUUAGCAUACCGGGGCUAAACAAGCUAGCAGUUAGUAGACCCGGGCAGGCUAGCAUUUAGCAGGCCGAAUUAGCAAGCAAGCAGAUAGCAAGGGCUAGAAAGUUAGCCUUUGGGGAAAGUCACGAUGUAGUUAAGUCUGUUUAUGCCUCUUCAUGCGGUGAUGUCGAUAGACUGGUCAUGGAAUUAGUAGGAUUCCAAAUAGCUCUAGGUAGCUAAGCAGGCCUAGCUGGUUAGCAUAAUGGGCCUUCAACAGGCGUCGCGCCUGAGUCCUCGGGCAGAUUAUGUCAGUAUUCCUGACGUAGGGGAUCUGCGGGGUUCCAUGCCCCGUACCGGCUGUAGAAGAUGUCCGGAUAUUGUAGCCCAGGAGUAGCACAGUAGCUCUGGCCGGGCUAGCUUCAACCUAAGUGGAUGGAAAUGCUAGCCAGGAGUAGUCAUCCGGGGUUGCGGUUAGCUAGUUGUGAAGAUCCAGUUGAAAAUGUUCCGUAUGCGGAACUAAAAAUAAUAGGUCCGUUAUGCUCUGGUUAGAGUUGCGUUGUUCGAACUGGCGAGAGCUUUCCGAGCUAAAGGUUAGCUGAUGACAGCUAGCAAUGGUUUGCUGACUGAUAGCUGGUAGUUAGCUGGCUAGCUUCAGUUGACGGGUUCCAGAUCCGAAGUAAAUAUAAAUACUUUAGAAAAAAAAGCAGAUCCACGCUACAUUGGGUGAGGCGGGUUGCAGGAGAGUAUUUAGAGGUUGAGGUUUAGCAAAAUAUUUAAAAAGAUAUGCGAAUAAAAAUAUGUACAAACGAUAUAUACAAGGGACACGACAGAACAAGACGUCUGACUGCUACGCCAUCUUGGAAGAUUGUACACACCUGGUUCCCAUUGUAUUAUUAUUAUUUCCUUAUUUAAAACUUGUUGGGGAUAGGGGGCAGUAUUUUCACUUUGGAUGAAUUGCGUGCCCAUAGUGAACUGCAUCAAACUCUGUCCUAAAUUGCUAAUAUAUGCAUAUUAUUAUUAUUGGACUAUUGGAUAGAAAACACUCUGAAGUCUCUAAAACUGUUUGAAUUAUGUCUGUGAGUAUAACAGAACUCAUAGGGCAGGCAAUCUUCCAAACAAGUUUUGAAAUUCUGAAAGUUGGGGCAACUUUGACGUCAUCGCCCCCUCCUUUCCCAACAAGAUAUGGAUCUGGAAACACUUCCUACGCCUUCCACUAGAUGUCCUCAUUCAGUAGAAAGUGUAAUGGAGCACUUGCUGUGAACUUUGACCUAAUGGGAGGGAAAAUAGUGUGCUACGGCUGUUCCAGUCAGCCCCAGAUGAAAACGAAUGAUCCGGUUGGAACGUUAUUGGAUAUAUAUGAUUAUAACAUCCUGAAGAUUGAUUCUGUACUUAGUUUGACCAGUUUUUUCGACCUGGAAUAUAUCUUUUGGACAUUUUCAUGCAAGUUAUCUUGGACCAGCUGUCAGUUUUUGGGCACGUGAGCUGAAAGUGACAGCAAAUGCUGCUACUUGGACACUAGUAUUGGACAUUAUGGAACAAAACAACGAUUUAUUGUGGAAGUAGGACUCCUUGCACUACAUUCUGAUGAAAGAUCAUGAAAGCAGCCGCUGCCUGCUCGCAACUCCACAGCACAGAUCACAACGGCCCAUUGGCAUGGAAUGAGGCACAAAAUGACUACCCUAGGCAAGAAGAGCCGCUGAGAAGCAGAGGGAAGGGAAGACAACAAGGUCAAAGGUGUCCACUGAUAUUGACCACAAGCUGGUUUGACACUGCCUAGCUGAGAAGGGACCAAGGCUCAUCCUCACGCAAACCAUGCAGCCGGGAACUCCUAUGAUGCACUGCUCCGCCACCUCCCUUUUGUCCAACUUUGUGUUCCCCCGGCAACAGGGCUAUGGGCCAUGGUUACCAAGUGGCCCAUGACUAUCAAAAGUAGGAGAGCAGCGCAGACAGACUACCCAGUAAAUAUGCCACUUCAUGGAUAAAGGAAUUCCUGCGUCAGUCUCAUCCAUUCCUCUGUCACCUGACCCGUGACCCGUGACCACUUGUUCACCUUCACUGUCCGUCAUCCUAACUGUCCCGUACCCACACAGAUUUCAAUAAUCUUUCAAUGAUCCUUUAAGCUGGAUGAUGACUGAAACAAAGACAGGUGAAGAGGAAAUGGAGGAGGAGAAGGAAGAAUUGUCUCCACUGGAAGGAAGGAGAGAGGAGGAAAGAGCGGCUGAGGGAAAAGUAUUGGAACAAAUAAGCCUAAAGCCAGGAGAUAAGCCUAAAGCAACAAAGGCUUUAUCCACAACCACCAGCAGCACCAGAAGAACCAGGCAACAAUUGAGCAGACAAGCACCUGGUUAUCUUAAGGAUUAUGUGGUGGAGAAUCCCAGACCAAAGGGCAAGCCCACCGGAGCUCAACUGUACGUUUCAGUCCCCUUCGAGCCAAGGAUGGCAAACUGCAGGAAAGUGGUCUACAGGAAGAACCCAUGGAGGAGGUAACUCCCACCGCACAGGUUGACCAGCUUCCCGAGGCGGGCUCCCAUUCACCCUUAAGUAAUGGGAAAUUGUUGAGGAACUCUAGACGGAGUGAGAGUUCGACCAGUGGAUACCCCUUUGGAAGUGGCAAUGGCAGCCGCCAUUCACUAGCCCUCAGCGAUUCCCAGACCGCUGUCCUACGAGAGAGGAUGAAACCACUAGCGUUGGAGGAAAUUGAGCAUCAGAUUGAGGAGGAAAGACAGUCUGAUUAAUGAUGUCACCUAUUGGAUGUGCAGGCCCGUAGUGCUCUGCAGAAAUGGGAAUUCAUUGCCAAGGACUUGGCACAGCAGCGACGGCACCAUCAAGCAAGAAGGGAAUUGGAGGAGGCAUGGAUGGUCUCAUCCUUCCUGGAGAGGAACAAACAGGGAGUUGACCUGACCACAACUCCACAUGGACCUGACCUGUCUGCCUUUCUUUCCGAAUCUACUCCUCUGGUACAGCAUGGCACACAGUCACCGGAGGAUCCGAGGUCAACAGCCAACACGGAGCACGUGGGACAGGCCGCUCCAACAACGCCCUCUAUGCCAGUGCCACAAGUUAGCAUUCUACCUUCAUCUAGACAAAGCACCACUCCUUCAUCUUUCCGCCAAUUGUCAACCAUGGCAAAUCGUUCCUCUCAUCCAGGGCCUGGAUCAGGCCAGUCAUCAACCAUCAGGUGGGAGGGCUCUCACCCAAUUCAGGCUGCCACCAAUGGAGGAGGGUCUGGGACAGAAGGGGACAGGCUCAAUGAGGCCACAGUGAGUUCAUCAGCAGUCCUGGGUGUAUCCUUCACGCAACCAAAAGGAGCCAACAUCAUGAAACUGCUAGUAUCCUCAGCCUAUGGAAUUCCCAGACACAAACUGCCAUACUUUGAGAGUGGAAAGGCCAGUGAUUUUGUCCUUUUGGUAAUGGCAGUGAAGAGCCUACUGGGUAUUCAAAGUAAUCUGUCAGAACGCUACAAAUACCAAGUACUGAUGGAUCACUUGCGGUUUCCCAGUGCUCACAGGCUGGCCAAAUCAUUUAUGCACUCCGCAACACCACGCACUGCUGCUAUCCAGGCCCUGAAAGUGAAAUAUGGUGAGCCACGCCAGCUAGUCCAGAAUGAACUAAACAACAUCCUCAAUACGUCUCCAACCAAAUGGGAGACCAUGCUGCCUUCCAAGAGUUCUCCCUUGCUGUCCAAUCCCUGACCUCGAUACUCCAAUCCAUUGAAGGAGAAGAUGGGAACGAGCUGAAAUGUGGCUCCCACAUGGACAGGCUUCUUAACUUCUUGAGGUACAGGGGGCAGCAUUUUCAGUUUUGGAUAAAUAGCAUGCCCAAUUUCAGCUUCCUGCUACUCAUACCAGGAAUAUAAGAUAUGCAUAUUAUUAGUAGAUUUGGAUAGAAAACACUCAGAAGUUUCUAAAACUGUUUGAAUCAUGUCUGUGAGUAUAACAGAACUUAUGUAGCAGGUCUCUGUCUGUUCACUGACUUUUCAUUGGCAAAUGAUAUUUCUUAGAAACCUUUUUUCAGUUCCUACCACUUCCACUGGAUGUCACCAGUCUUUGGAAUUUGGUUGAGGUUAUUCAUUUGUGCAAUGAAAAAGUAGGCCAUCUAGGAACUGGGUAACACUGUUGAGAGUUGCGCAAGAUGUGAAAAGUGGCAUGGUUUGUUGACUGCCUAUUUAUCUGUACAUG